UGGCUCAGAGCGAACGCUGGCGGCAGGCCUAAUACAUGCAAGUCGAACGGUCUCUUCGGAGGCAGUGGCGGACGGGUGAGUAACGCGUGGGAACGUGCCCUUUGGUACGGAACAACUGAGGGAAACUUCAGCUAAUACCGUAUGUGCCCUUCGGGGGGAAAGAUUUAUCGCCAUUGGAGCGGCCCGCGUUGGAUUAGCUAGUUGGUGGGGUAAUGGCCCACCAAGGCGACGAUCCAUAGCUGGUCUGAGAGGAUGAUCAGCCACACUGGGACUGAGACACGGCCCAGACUCCUACGGGAGGCAGCAGUAGGGAAUCUUGCGCAAUGGGCGAAAGCCUGACGCAGCCAUGCCGCGUGAAUGAUGAAGGUCUUAGGAUUGUAAAAUUCUUUCACCGGGGACGAUAAUGACGGUACCCGGAGAAGAAGCCCCGGCUAACUUCGUG
rnacentral:rRNA from 1 species